CCUCUCUAUUGAGUACAACUGUG
rnacentral:miRNA from 14 species